GACGAAGGAUGCAAGCGUUAUCCGGAUUCAUUGGGUUUAAAGGGUGCGUAGGCGGACUUGUAAGUCAGUGGUGAAAUCUCUUUGCUUAACAAAGAAAACUGCCAUUGAUACUGCAGGUCUAGAGUAUAGAUGACGUUGGCGGAAUAUGACAUGUAGUGGUGAAAUACUUAGAUAUGUCAUAGAACACCGAUUGCGAAGGCAGCU
rnacentral:rRNA from 1 species